rnacentral:rRNA from 1 species
UACAGAGGUCUCAAGCGUUGUUCGGAUUCAUUGGGCGUAAAGGGUGCGUAGGUGGCGCUGUAAGUCGGGUGUGAAAUUUCGGAGCUUAACUCCGAAACUGCAUUCGAUACUGCGGUGCUUGAGGACUGGAGAGGAGACUGGAAUUCAUGGUGUAGCAGUGAAAUGCGUAGAUAUCAAGAGGAACACCAGUGGCGAAGGCGAGUCCCUGGACGAUACCUGACACUGAGGCACGAAAGCCAAGGGAGCAAACAGG